rnacentral:rRNA from 1 species
GGGUUGUGAGGUUAAGCGACUAAGCGUACACGGUGGAUGCCCUGGCAGUCAGAGGCGAUGAAGGACGUGCUAAUCUGCGUAAAGCGACGGUAAGGUGAUAUGAACCGCUACAGCCGUCGAUGUCCGAAUGGGGAAACCCGGUGCACUCAGUGCAUCAUUGCAGCAUGAAUACAUAGUGCUGCAAGGCGAACCGGGGGAACUGAAACAUCUAAGUACCCCGAGGAAAAGAAAUCAACCGAGAUUCCCCCAGUAGCGGCGAGCGAACGGGGAGCAGCCCAGAGCCUGAAUCAGCUUGUGUGUUAGUGGAAGCGUCUGGAAAGUCGCAGGGUACAGGGUGAUACUCCCGUACACAAAAACACACAGGCUGUGAGCUCGAUGAGUAAGGCGGGACACGUGGUAUCCUGUCUGAAUAUGGGGGGACCAUCCUCCAAGGCUAAAUACUCCUGACUGACCGAUAGUGAACCAGUACCGUGAGGGAAAGGCGAAAAGAACCCCGGCGAGGGGAGUGAAACAGAACCUGAAACCGUGUACGUACAAGCAGUGGGAGCCUUCUUUAUGGGGGUGACUGCGUACCUUUUGUAUAAUGGGUCAGCGACUUAUAUUCUGUAGCAAGGUUAACCGUAUAGGGGAGCCGCAGGGAAACCGAGUCUUAACUGGGCGUUAAGUUGCAGGGUAUAGACCCGAAACCCGGUGAUCUAGCCAUGGGCAGGUUGAAGGUUGGGUAACACUAACUGGAGGACCGAACCGACUAAUGUUGAAAAAUUAGCGGAUGACCUGUGGCUGGGGGUGAAAGGCCAAUCAAACCGGGAGAUAGCUGGUUCUCCCCGAAAGCUAUUUAGGUAGCGCCUCGUGAACUCAUCUUCGGGGGUAGAGCACUGUUUCGGCUAGGGGGCCAUCCCGGCUUACCAACCCGAUGCAAACUGCGAAUACCGAAGAAUGUUAUCACGGGAGACACACGGCGGGUGCUAACGUCCGUCGUGAAGAGGGAAACAACCCAGACCGCCAGCUAAGGUCCCAAAGUCAUGGUUAAGUGGGAAACGAUGUGGGAAGGCACAGACAGCCAGGAUGUUGGCUUAGAAGCAGCCAUCAUUUAAAGAAAGCGUAAUAGCUCACUGGUCGAGUCGGCCUGCGCGGAAGAUGUAACGGGGCUAAACCAUGCACCGAAGCUGCGGCAGCGACACUAUGUGUUGUUGGGUAGGGGAGCGUUCUGUAAGCCGUCGAAGGUGUGCUGUGAGGCAUGCUGGAGGUAUCAGAAGUGCGAAUGCUGACAUAAGUAACGAUAAAGCGGGUGAAAAGCCCGCUCGCCGGAAGACCAAGGGUUCCUGUUCAACGUUAAUCGGAGCAGGGUGAGUCGACCCCUAAGGCGAGGCCGAAAGGCGUAGUCGAUGGGAAACAGGUUAAUAUUCCUGUACUUGGUGUUACUGCGAAGGGGGGACGGAGAAGGCUAUAUCAGCCGGGCGACGGUUGUCCCGGUUUAAGCGUGUAGGUGUGUGUUCCAGGCAAAUCCGGUUCACUUUACACUGAGGCGUGACGACGAGGCACUACGGUGCUGAAGUGAUAAAUGCCCUGCUUCCAGGAAAAGCCUCUAAGCAUCAGGUAACACAAAAUCGUACCCCAAACCGACACAGGUGGUCAGGUAGAGAAUACCAAGGCGCUUGAGAGAACUCGGGUGAAGGAACUAGGCAAAAUGGUGCCGUAACUUCGGGAGAAGGCACGCUGGCGCGUAGGUGGAGGGACUUGCUCCCCGAGCCGAAGCCAGUCGAAGAUACCAGCUGGCUGCAACUGUUUAUUAAAAACACAGCACUGUGCAAACACGAAAGUGGACGUAUACGGUGUGACGCCUGCCCGGUGCCGGAAGGUUAAUUGAUGGGGUUAUCCGUAAGGAGAAGCUCUUGAUCGAAGCCCCGGUAAACGGCGGCCGUAACUAUAACGGUCCUAAGGUAGCGAAAUUCCUUGUCGGGUAAGUUCCGACCUGCACGAAUGGCGUAAUGAUGGCCAGGCUGUCUCCACCCGAGACUCAGUGAAAUUGAACUCGCUGUGAAGAUGCAGUGUACCCGCGGCAAGACGGAAAGACCCCGUGAACCUUUACUACAGCUUGACACUGAACAUUGAGCCUUGAUGUGUAGGAUAGGUGGGAGGCUUUGAAGCGC